rfam:Grosmannia clavigera kw1407 unplaced genomic scaffold GCSC_140, whole genome shotgun sequence.
GUCACCAUGGCGCAGUUGGCUAGCGCGUAGGUCUCAUAAUCCUGAGGUCGAGAGUUCGAGCCUCUCUGGUGACA